GGCUCCAUAGCUCAGUUGGUAGAGCAGAGGAUUGAAAAUCCUUGUGUCCCUGGUUCGAACCCGGGUGGAGCCACCA
rnacentral:tRNA from 2 species